CACUAGGAAGCUAAAGUGGAUUAUAGCAUCAGCCUUUUAAGCUGAAAGUUGGUGAUUUCCAACCACCCCUAAUGA
rnacentral:tRNA from 1 species